GUUUUAGCCAGGGUAUUGAUUAUUUUACAUUUGUCGAUAUCUUAGGGAAAGUAGGAAAGUGUAAUCUUUAUCAUUGAUUUGCUUCUAAUUAAGGGUGAAAACUGCUGAAUCAAAGCGCAAAGAGAGCUGCUGUCUUUGCAAAACUGAUUCACAAACCCCAGAUAUGAACUUCUAGUGCUCCUGGAAUAGUGAUUUAACCAGUUCUUCUUAAAACGUAUUUUGUCUUUAAUACUGUUAAUCAUUUUUGUCUGCUUCCUUAGAAAAAACAGAUUUGUGACUGAUUAGAUCAUUUUUUUGAGCAAUGAUAUCAGAGAAAUAGUUUUUUACUUCAUUUUUUAUAUUUUCUCUUGUAUUUAUGCUCAUACGGACACUUUUCUGAUAAAGAUCACAGGGUUUAGAAUGACAUUUGAAGUCAGAAAGAUAUUCUUGAUAUUUAUGACCCAUGUAACCUUGAGCAAGUAAAUAAUCCUCAAAAAGCCUUAUAUAUGGACAGGGGUCACCCUAUCUACCUCAAAGGAGUGUAAUGAGGAUAAGUGAGAAAAUACUCAAAAAGCGUAAAAAUAGAUUGCACAUAUGGAGGUCUUACCACUACUAAAAAAGGACCACAGUCUCUGGUAGAAAUUCUUGGUGUCAGACAUUUCAGAUUUCAGAACUUAAAGUUUAGAAAGAUAAUAUCGAGCACAGAUUCCAUAUUACAUAGCACCGAUGUAUUAAUAAUCCAAUAAUUUAUUGCAUAUUUAAGACAGUUAAAAAAUACGACGAUUGAGGAGUUCCUGUCGUGGCGCAGUGGAAAGGAAUCUGACUAGGAACUAUGAGGUUGCAGGUUCGAUUCUUGGCCUCGCUCAGUGGGUUAAGCAUCUGGGGUUGCCGUGAGCUGUGAUGUAGGUCGCAGACGUGGCUCGGAUCUGGUGUUGCUGUGGCUCUGGUGUAGACAGGCAGCAACAGCUCCAAUUAGACCCCUAGCCUGGGAACCUCCGUAUGCCGGGAGUGUGGCCCUCAAAAGACAAAAUAAAUAGAUAAAACUACUACAAUUGACUUACAUCCUUUCAAGUCAGGUCCUGCCACACAGUGAGUGUAGGUGAGUUUUGCAUUACCAAGAUGUAAUAAUGUAUUACUAUAAGAUUUGGGAUUUUAGAAUGGAAGUUUAUCAUGUGCAUGUCAUAGAAGGUAGUAUAUUUUAAAUGCCUCACAAACAUCUGGCUCUGCCAUAGGUGCAUAUUAAAUGCUCAUCCCAUCUUGGCCUUUGUUUUUUUUCUCUCCCUAAUGUGUAGCCCAUUUCUAGCUUCCCCAGUGAGGUGAGAGUCUCUCUCUCAGGCUCGCUAUAGCAAAGCUUCUGUUCCAGCACAAGUUCACAUGGGGCCUUGGACUUCCAAACUGCUUUUACUCUACCAGAUUUUUCUCUUUUCCUAAAUAGUCUCAUCUUUCUCCCUCAUCUUCCAUUUCCCUCUUGCUUUGAAUUUUCUACUUCCUGACAUGUGGUUAUUUACAGUGUCUCUGUCAAUCGGGUCAAUGGAAUGAGUCUAAUUCACUAGGAAUGUUUCCUAUCAAAUUUUUUUUUUUUUCCAAAGGCUGCCAUCAUUUUUAUCCUUUUCCUGAGUGAAUAAUGAGUGUGGAAUAAGGUGAAGGUGGUUUUGGUGCAAAUAACACACACAUGUGUAUAUGUGUAAGUAUGUAUGUAUAUAUAAAUAUAUGUGUCUGGGUAUUGAUACACACAUAUAUGUGUGUAUACAGAUAGAUACACAUUAUGUAUACACACACACACACACACACACACACACACACACAUUUUCCCCCUGCAGGGAUACAGACCUAAGGCAAGACUAAGAUGUGUCUUUCUGACCUAUAUUCACUGGAAAGCCAUGGGUGCCUCAGUGAUUAGGCAGCAAUUAGCCUGUGAUUCAGGCAGACGAAGAGCUACCUCCCAUGCCUUUAAAAUCUCCUUCCUUGAAGGACAACUCAUAAAAAACACUUAGUGGAUAUUUAAAACAGUUUCGGCAUCAUAAUAGGCUCUAUUCUGGGUCACUUUGCACACCCAAAUUGUUUUUUGGAGGCUAUUAACAGUGUCAUGCUGAGCAAUUUAAUAAACACAAUCAGUGGUAAAGCCUGUUACUUUCGUAUUACUGGUUUGAAAAAUCAUCCUCAUAUAUAUCCGCGCAUGGUUAUACGCCUGCUCACUUAACCAGGGAGUCUUGAAGAAUAACUUCUGCAUGUAUGAUAAGGAUCUUUUAUUCGUGGGUGACAGAGCCUAUUUUGCAGCUUCUGUGCACACUCAAAUUGUUCUUGAGGAGCAAUUCAGGCAUCAUUUGUGUGGGCCUCCCACACUCAGAAUAGGUUAAUAGGCAAUGUCACCUUCACUGGGCUAUUCUUUGGCUAGAGACCAUUAAGGGAAAUAGCUGUUUCAGUGAGUGGCAUAUUAAAGUUCUAGCCCAGAGCUCUGUCUGCCCUGGUUCCAAUAUAUGUGAUCGUGGCUCGUGAGGAGGCUGCAUUUGUACCAUCUCGUGGAUGUAAAUGCCAGCGAAUCUACCCAUAAAGCUGAAGCAUGAGAAACGUGGGGGCCUGAGGUGAUCCAAAAGAAGCUGAAAGAGAAUUUUGACCCUUCACUUAAACUUCCUCUUCUCUAAGCACCUCAGUCCACCAGCCACCCAUUUCCUGCUGGUUCUCCCAUCUUCAUAUCUACCAGCCUUUAUGCUUCUGUUAGCUCUCUGGCCACUCUUACUCAUCAGUUUAUUAGUUCAAGCCUGGAGUCUUGCCUCUUGAGCUAAUUUAUCUGCCCUCUGUUUAUUAUUUUUCUCAAUAUCUGUGCAGAUGAAACAUUAUUUUAGAGUUAAGUGUUAAGGAAACCUUUACUUCUUCCCAAGGAGCUGGUAUUUUUACUGCAAGUAGAAGAUAAGAAUGAUAGGAGUUCCCUGGCGGCCUACCUAGUAGUACAGGAUUCAGCAUUGUCACUGCUGUGGUUGGGGCUUGACCUCUGGCCCGUGAAUUUCCACAUGCCUCAUGUGGCCCCCCCCAAAAAAAAAAAAAAAAAGACAAAAGAAAAAAGAGGAAGGAUAAAAUGAGCCAUGGUUCCCUUUAAAUUUUGGCUGCCUGGAAGCUCAGAGCCAAAGCUCAGGUUAAUCACAAGUCUUAAAACUUGCUUAAAGUAAAUAUAUUUUGCUUUGUAAAUUUAUCACUCAAGUCUAGAGCUCACAUUUUAAACAUAGACUUUUCCAGGCCUCAGUGUUUUAUUUUAACGUGUUUGCCUUGCCCUCCUUUUUGACUCCAGUUGAACAGAACUGGAUUAAUCAUAAUCUUUGGUUCAUAUUAUUCUUACAUUUUCUUUUUAAAUUUUUUUUAUUGCAAGUGAUCCUGUAGUACAAUGAACUCUUUGUAGCAUGAGGCGAGGUAUAAAUAAAUUAUGAGUACAUAAGCAUUAACUUUGCAUUGGGAAGCAAAACGAACAUAGAAGCAGGACCAAGAGGAAAGAGAUCUAAAUGAUUCUGCAUGACAAACUAGGCUGGGGAUAAGGUGGCGUUUUCUGGGAACAGGGAAAACAAAGAAAAUGGAAAAGAUAGAAAAAAAAUUAUAUUUAUCAAAUUCUCUGUGGUGUCAAUGCCAUGGUUCUGUAGGACAGUGAAAUCUUGUAUUCAGUGUAAGAGUUGUCUGUUUAAAUAAUUCCCCUCUGCCAAAGCAAACCUUUAGUAAAUUCCUCUAUCUCCAUAUCUUGGAAUUAAUAGUACAUGGAUGGAAAUGUGGUUUCCACAGUGUGAGUUUACAAGCAAUUGAGACAACCUGGCAGGACUAAGAAAAAAAGUUAGAAUUAUUAAAAAAUAAAAACAUGAGGGUGUUCCCAUCGUGGCACAGUGGAAACAAAUCUGACGAGUAUCCAUGAGGAUGUGAGUUCGAUCCCUGGCCUCACUCAGUGGGUUAAGGAUCUGGCAUUGCCAUGGGCCGUGGUGUAGGUCGCAGACUUGGCUCAGAUUCUGAGCUGCUGUGGCUUUGGUACAGGCCGGCAGCCAUGCUCCGAUUCGACCCCUAGCCUGGGAACCUCCAUAAGGCUUGAGGUAGUUCUCUUUUCCUUCCUAUUUUUUUGCCUCUUUUCCCCUCUCCUCCAUUCCUCUUGUCCUUCCCUUCCUCUCUCCUUCCUUCCUUCUCUCCUCCCCUGUUACCUCCCUUCCUUGGCUCUCUUCUAGGGGCCAAUGAACCUGCUAAGCAUUCAACCUGCAGGAGUAAGGAAGAGAUGUGGGUGAGCUUACACGUCAGUAAAGACCAUAACAUAAAACUUAAAAAUAAAAUGAGACGUUCUCCUGUGGCACAGUGGGUUAAGGAUCAAGCAUUGUCACGGCAGCAGCUUGGGUCGUUGCCUUGGGGUGGGUUGAUCCCUGGUCUAGGAACUUCCACAUGCCACAGGCAUUCCCCCCAUCCCCUCCACAAGAAGCCAAAAAAAAAAAAGAGUAUGGUUUAUGAUGAGUGCUCUAAUGAAAAUAACCAAGGUAUACAGUGAGAGUAUGGAAGAGGGGUGGAGUAGGUAGGGGUUAUUUUUGUUAGGGAGCAUAUUUCUUAAGCCACAUGAAUUGGUAACUGAAGCCAUGAAAAGCUCCCUCAAAAGCUGGAGGAAUUGAGGGCAUCAAAUCUCAUUUCAGUAUUUAUUCUCGUUGUAUGGUAUUAAAAUUGGAUAUAGGAAGGAAGGCAAAUGCAUUUCUGAUUGUGUACUUUCUCCUUGGGCCUUCAUUGCCAUAUAUUCCUAUUUAGCUCUUCAAAAUUUGAUGCCUAUUUGAAUUUUCGGAAAAAUAUAUUUUUUUACAUCUUCAAAGCAGCCAAUUGUCCAUGUUCCAAAUAAAUUGAAUCUGUUGUCCUCAUGCCAUGCUAAGAAGUUUGCAGGAAUCAAUCAUAUCACAGAUUGCGUGUAUGGAUUUUUGGUCUCUGGACUCUCAUUUUCCUUCAACUGUGCUUUUCUUCAACAUAUAAAUCUAGUGUUUUUCAAUAACAUUUAUUCCCAAGAAAUAUUUUAAUAUUUCCAAAUGAAGGGUUUGAGCCGAAUUUCUAAUUUUAUAUUAGAACACAUUACAUUAGUCUUGCCAUGAGUAAGACUGUUUUGAGGACAGUUUCCGGUCAUUUUGGUGAGCUAACCUAGGAGUGACUUUCAUGUCUCUAGUUACCUUCUUGAAUUUCACACUCAUGUUUAUCAUUACCAGAGAAACAACAGAGGAGGAGGGCUAGAAUUCAAGGUUUAGUUAUAGACCAUUUAGGACUGAGUUUUUGUAAAUGAUGUAAUCAUAAUAAUUAUAGUAACAAUUCCUAUCUUCUUAUCAUUCAGGCAUAGAUUUAUUUUAUUUUUCCCAAUCAAUUUUAUAAGAUUAGGAUUAUUGGCCCUCUUUAUAUGAAAUGAAGAAACUGAGACUUAAGAAAAAUU
rnacentral:lncRNA from 1 species